UAACGAUUUGGGCACUGUCUCAACGAGAGACUCGGUGAAAUCAUAGUACCUGUGAAGAUGCAGGUUACCCGCGACAGGACGGAAAGACCCCGUGGAGCUUUACUGUAGCCUGAUAUUGAAAUUCGGCAUAGCUUGUACAGGAUAGGUAGGAGCCAUUGAAACGUGAGCGCUAGCUUACGUGGAGGCGUUGGUGGGAUACUACCCUAGCUGUGUUGGCUUUCUAACCCGCACCACUUAUCGUGGUGGGAGACAGUGUC
rnacentral:rRNA from 1 species